rnacentral:tRNA from 1 species
GGUCUGGUGGUCUGGUGGUAUGAUUCUCGCUUAGGGUGCGAGAGGUCCCGGGUUCAAUCCCCGGCCAGACCC